rnacentral:misc_RNA from 1 species
GAUGAAGAACGUAGCAAAAUGCGAUAAGUAAUGUGAAUUGCAGAAUUCAGUGAAUCAUCGAAUCUUUGAACGCACAUUGCGCCCGCUGGUAUUCCGGCGGGCAUGCCUGUUCGAGUGUCAUUUCAACCCUCAAGCCCCCGGGUUUGGUGUUGGGGAUCGGCUCUGCCCUUCUGGGCGGUGCCGCCCCCGAAAUACAUUGGCGGUCUCGCUGCAGCCUCCAUUGCGUAGUAGCUAACACCUCGCAACUGGAACGCGGCGCGGCCAUGCCGUAAAACCCCAACUUCUGAAUGUUGACCUCGGAUCAGGUAGGAAUACCCGCUGAACUUAAGCAUAUCAAUAAGCGGAGGA